UUGUAUUAUCCUGCAUCGCCCGAUCAACGAUGGCUCAACAGUAUAAUGCACCAACUUAAUAUCAACAGCUGCCUUGUGAGCAGGCCGCUGCAAUCCGGAACGGAGUAAUUCCGUCAGGACUGCGGUUCUUUCAUUGCGCCUUUUUGCAGCUGUACC
ncrna:unclassified sequences DTF2800 RNA